GCUAUAUUUGUCUAAGCAAAGCCUAAAAGGUAAAAUUUUUUUUCAAUGCUACAACGAAAGUUUGCAAUAUUUCCUGUACAAAGUGAAAUCUCCCAAAAAGAUUUCAAAUACGACGCAUACAUUGUUUACUCACCGUUUCUUAUAAUCGAAUAUAUCAAGAAAAAACUACAAUAAAUUUUAAAUGAUACAUUAAUACAAAGGUUUGACAAUUUUUGCACAUUGCAGCUGUAGGUUACUUCGAAGGUACAAUAAUUUAGAACUAUUUCAGCACUACGAUUCCAAAAAGUAACAUUUCUCUAUGAAAAAUCAAAAGAUCCAAACUUAAAUAAUUUCUUCGCUAGGCUCCCAAAGCUAUAUUUGUCUAAGCAAAACCUAAAAGGUAAAAUUUUUUUUCAAUGCUACAACGAAAGCUUGCAAUAUUUCUAGUACAAAGUGAAAUCUUCCAAAAACAUUUCGAAUACGACGCUUACAUUGUUUAAUCCCCUUUUCUUAUAAAACUAUAUCAAGAAAAAACUACCAUUAAUCUUAAACGAUACAUUAAUACAAAAGUUUGACAAUUUUUGCAUAUUGAAGGUUUAGAUUAUUUCGAAGGUACAAUAAGGUAGAACUAUUUCAACACUACGAUUCCAAAAA
rnacentral:lncRNA from 1 species